AUGAUGAAGAGAUUUGCGUUCGAGGAGAGGGAGAUGGCGCGCGUGCUGCUGCUCGUGUCGCGCGAGCAGGCGAUGCCCAUGCCGAUGCCAUCGUCGGUAGGUGCGAGUGUGACCGGGCGUGGUGACCGCGCCCCGGAGCGGGCGUUCAUGUGCAAGACGUGCGACCGCGUGUUCCCGUCGUUCCAAGCGCUGGGCGGCCACCGCGCUAGCCACAAGAAGCCGCGGCUUGAUGGCGACGGCGACUUCAAGCCCAAGAUGCACGGCUGCUCCAUCUGCGGCCUUGAGUUCGCUGUCGGUCAGGCGCUCGGCGGCCACAUGAGGCGUCACCGUGCCAUGGUUGCAGGAGGCCAUGGCGUCACGGCCGGGCCGCCGGCGAAAACGGUCAACAACCUUGACGACAGCAGCAACGCCGUUGUGGUUGUUGGCAGCGGAGGCGGCAUCAAGCCCGGGCUAUGGCUCGACCUGAACCAACCGCCGUGUGACGAUGUGGGUGGCAGCGACGUCGAUCACGGCGAGUGCGGCCAUGACGCCGCAGCCGCUGGGUACACGUUCCACCAGUUCUUGGAUGCCGGCACCAUGCCGGUGGACUGCGUCGGCUACUAG
rnacentral:rRNA from 1 species